rnacentral:rRNA from 1 species
UACGAAGGGUGCAAGCGUUGUUCGGAAUUAUUGGGCGUAAAGGGUUCGUAGGCGGGAUUGUAAGUCAAGUGUGAAAUCCCCGAGCUUAACUCGGGACGUGCAUUUGAAACUGUGAUUCUUGAGUCAUUGAGAGGGUGGUGGAAUUGUUGGUGUAGGAGUGACAUCCGUAGAGAUCAACAGGAACAUCAGAGGCGAAAGCGGCCACCUGGCAAUGUACUGACGCUGAGGAACGAAAGCGUGGGGAGCAAACAGG